CCCUCUGGGUCCAACCUCCCACCCGUGUUUAUUUUACCUUGUUGCUUCGGCGGGCCCGCCUUAACUGGCCGCCGGGGGGCUUACGCCCCCGGGCCCGCGCCCGCCGAAGACACCCUCGAACUCUGUCUGAAGAUUGUAGUCUGAGUGAAAAUAUAAAUUAUUUAAAACUUUCAACAACGGAUCUCUUGGUUCCGGCAUCGAUGAAGAACGCAGCGAAAUGCGAUACGUAAUGUGAAUUGCAAAUUCAGUGAAUCAUCGAGUCUUUGAACGCACAUUGCGCCCCCUGGUAUUCCGGGGGGCAUGCCUGUCCGAGCGUCAUUGCUGCCCUCAAGCACGGCUUGUGUGUUGGGCCCCGUCCUCCGAUCCCGGGGGACGGGCCCGAAAGGCAGCGGCGGCACCGCGUCCGGUCCUCGAGCGUAUGGGGCUUUGUCACCCGCUCUGUAGGCCCGGCCGGCGCUUGCCGAUCAACCCAAAUUUUUAUCCAGGUUGACCUCGGAUCAGGUAGGGAUACCCGCUGAACUUAAGCAUAUCAAUAAGCGGAGGAAAAGAAACCAACAGGGAUUGCCCCAGUAACGGCGAGUGAAGCGGCAAGAGCUCAAAUUUGAAAGCUGGCUCCUUCGGGGUCCGCAUUGUAAUUUGUAGAGGAUGCUUCGGGAGCGGUCCCCAUCUAAGUGCCCUGGAACGGGACGUCAUAGAGGGUGAGAAUCCCGUAUGGGAUGGGGUGUCCGCGCCCGUGUGAAGCUCCUUCGACGAGUCGAGUUGUUUGGGAAUGCAGCUCUAAAUGGGUGGUAAAUUUCAUCUAAAGCUAAAUAUUGGCCGGAGACCGAUAGCGCACAAGUAGAGUGAUCGAAAGAUGAAAAGCACUUUGAAAAGAGAGUUAAAAAGCACGUGAAAUUGUUGAAAGGGAAGCGCUUGCGACCAGACUCGCUCGCGGGGUUCAGCCGGCAUUCGUGCCGGUGUACUUCCCCGCGGGCGGGCCAGCGUCGGUUUGGGCGGUCGGUCAAAGGCCCUCGGAAGGUAACGCCCCUAGGGGCGUCUUAUAGCCGAGGGUGCAAUGCGACCUGCCUAGACCGA
rnacentral:rRNA from 1 species